ACACACACCUACAAACUCACACAACCGAAAAACCUCUAAGACCUUCCCUCCCACACACACCUAGAAACUCAAACCACUCAAGAACCUCAAAUAUUUACCCUCCCACAUAUACCUAGAAAUUCUUUAAGGGGCCGAAAUACCCACAACACAACUGCACCCCACCUCACACACAUCUGCAUACCUCCACAUCUGAAGAACCUCUAAGACCUUCCCUCCCACAUACACCUAGAAACUCAAACCACUCAAGAACCUCAAAUAUUUACCCUCCCACAUACACCCAGAAAUUCUUUACGAGGCAGAAAUACCCACAACACAACUGCACCCCAUCUCACACACAUCUGCAAACUCCCACAUCUGAAGAACCUCAAAUACCUGCACUCCCACAUAUACCUGGAAAUUCUCAACAGGCGGACACACCCACAACACAUAUGCACGCCCACACACACCUGCAAACUCACGCCACUCCAAAAACUCCAGUACCUACACUCCCACACAUAUACCUGGAAAUUCUCAACAGGCCCACACCCAUAACACACCUGCAGACUGAUGGCACACUAACACCUCCACCUCUGCACACACACCUGCCUCAGCCACACACCUACACGCCCACCAAACACCUCCACGUCUUUGGCAAUCGAUGUUGUAACUGAAUCUCUCAGAUCUUAUUAGAGUAUUGGGAGUUCUGGGAAUAUCGCUGAGUCUCAAAUGAAGUCGUGCCCCAGGAGUAUAAAUCUUUCAUAGCUGCACGUGGAUGGUUCAUGGGGGACAAGCUUCUUAUUAGAACAUAUAACUAGAUCGUCAAUUCAAAUGCGAACCUGUUGUAUCUUAUCUUUCUCUCUCUACAUUCUACGAACACUUACGUAAAAAAUGGUUCUUUCUCGCACCGCUCAAGGAUACGCCUCCAAAUAGGUAUCACGAGACGGUAAACCAACACUCGGUAGCAUGUCUUAUUCUAUUAGUGCUCCACCAGGGUAUGUUUAUAUAUGGUGCCAUGGGAAUUUCAUAUUAAGUACAUUCCUAGCACUACUCGACCACGCGAUUCAGGGUACAUAUUCACAAACAUUCCGAGGCUUACACACCCACAUUACAUAAGGCUUUCGUCGAGGUUGUGUUUGCGUUUCCAUGGGUAGCUUUGGGUAGUUUUAUGAGCCUAGUGAUAGUCUGACAAGUCUUCUGCAAAAUCAACAUGAAAAAUACUCAAUGAGGACCCGACUUCUCAAAUAUUUCACGGUUUGCACACCACAUUUGAUAAGGCUUUUGGAGAGGUUGCGUUUGCGUUUCCAUGGGUAGCUUUGGGUAGUUUUAUGAGCCUAGUGAUAGUCUGACAAGUCUUCUGCAAAAUCGACGUGAAAAAUACUCAAUGAGGACCCGUCUUCUCAAACACGUCACGAUUUGCACAAGCACAAUUGAUAAGGCGUUCGUCGAGGUUGUGUUUGCGUUUCCAUGGGUAGCUUUGGAUAGUUUUAUGAGCCUAGUGAUAGUCUGACAAAUCUUCUGCAAAAUCAACGUGAAAAAUACUCAAUGAAGACCCGACUUCUCAAACAUUUCAGGGUUUUUUGAUAAGGCUUUUGUAGAGGUUGCGUUAGUACUUCAAUGGGUAGUUUCAUGGGUCACGUGAAUCUGAUAAGGCUUCUGCAAACUAAACGAGAAAUACAUCCAUGAGAACUCGAUUAACCUCCACUAUAGCCUUUGGAAAUAUCUGUUGUGAGGGCCGAAAAAGUCUCAAAAUACUGGCCCACGACUUGUUUGGCCUGAGGGAGUUAGAUUAGUAUUUAUUGCCCACCGCCUAUCCCCACACAAUUGUUUCCUAAGCACAUAAUGACAGGUUCCCCACAAAACUUAGACCCACUGACGCAUAUGACAAAGUACACGCCUGCACGCCCGCAACACACACAUACGAAAACUAAAAAGAACUUGCGACUUUCUUUCUAUUCGCUUUUGUUCACGCCUGGUUUCUUUUCAUUGUUUUUUUCUUUAUUCCUUUUUCUUUUCGUUUAUUUAUAUCUUAAUGUUUUUAUUCGGUGUUUUAUUUCCCAUUUUCAUUCUAGGGGCAGCUGUAACGGGAUAUUUUUUGCGUGUUGCCCUCGGUCUGUUUCUACCGUAAAAAAUAAUCCCAUAGUCCACCUAAACAAACAUCAGGUAAAGGUCGCCCGCCACACACCUGCGCACACCUACACACACACAACACACACUAUAAUCAGUUCCAAACACUUUACUUUUCACCCCCUUCCUUUUUUAUCUUCAUAUCCUUCACUUCUUUUUCCUUUCCCUGUCUUCAUACUCGUUAUAGCACACACACACACACACACACACACACACACACACACACACACACACACACACACACACACACACACACACACACACACACACACACACACACACACACACACACACACACACACCUGUAGAUUCGUCACAUACCAACAAGUUUAUUAACACGCGAAACACAUCCAUCACUAACACACACACACACACACACACACACACACACACACACACACACACACCUGCAUCACACAUUUACACACUCAAUAAGAAUCUAUACACCCACACGGAAAUGUUCACACACACACACACACACACACACACACACACACACACACACACACACUAGUAAACACCCACACACCCACUUAGACCUAAUAAAAGCCGCUAAAUUAUAGAACGAACGUCAUGCAAGGGAAGGGAGUCUCUAGUUGAAGAUGCGUGGCGUGCUAUUUUUUUAAUCAUAUUUGUCUCAUAUUUAUUGAGUGAGUUAUUUUCCUUUCUCUUCCCAACUCGGCGGCGAACUCUGUGAUUCAGCGCCCGGGUCUGUGGUCUGUGAUAAGGACUUCGGUGACCGGGAAUCUCGGGCACUCGACGGAAUAUACGAGGCAAGGCUGUGACGUUCGAGAAAAGUAUUGAAAACAGAUGCAACAGCCAUUUCUCUUAGCGGUAUUCAAGUAAAUUCUCUCCGCGUGCACGGGAGAUAUAUAUUGGUUACAAAUAAAUGGGGCCUAGUUUACAUGAGUUUACAUAUUUAGCCCAAGUUAAGUAGACGGAAUAUACGAGGCAAGGCUGUGACGUUCGAGAAAAGUACUGAAAACAGAUGCAACAGCCAUUUCUCUUAGCGGUAUUCAAGUAAAUUCUCUCGGCGUGCAUGGGAGAUAUAUAUCGGUUACGAAUAAAGGGGGCCUAGUUUACCAUUUGAGUAGACCUAGGGCCGUAUUACCAAACAAUUCGUCGCCCAAGUUUACACAUUUGCCAAGGCUUUCGUAGGAGUUUUAGACAUUUCCAUCAGUAGUUUUAUGGCCCUGAUGGUAGUCUGACCCUUCUUCUGUACCAUGAGCCUAAAGAAACACUCAUUAGAAUCCGACUGAUCCCCUCUUCGACUUUUAUAAAUAGUUGUUGAGAGAAGCGAAAGUUUACAUAUUUAGCCCAAGUUUGGUAGACAAGGGAGCAACGUUACCAUUUGAAGAGCUAAGUUUGUGAUUCAGCUUAGGUUAGGUUAUUAUUUAAGGGGUUAGGUUUGGUUAUUAUUUAAAGAGGUUAGGUUAGGUUAUUGUUUAAAGAGGUUAGGUUAGGUUAUUGUUUAAGGGGGUUAGGUUUGGUUAUUAUUUAAAGAGGUUAGGUUAGGUUAUUGUUUAAAGAGGUUAGGUUAGGUUAUUGUUUAAGGGGGUUAGGUUAGGUUAUUGUUUAAGGGGGUUAGGUUAGGUUAUUGUUUAAGGGGUUAGGUUAGGUUAUUAUUUAAGGGGUUAGGUUAGGUUAUUAUUUAAGGGGUUAGGUUAGGUUAUUGUUUAAGGGGGUUAGGUUAGGUUAUUGUUUAAGGGGGUUAGGUUAGGUUAGGUUAUUGUUUAAGGGGGUUAGGUUAGGUUAUUGUUUAAGGGGGUUAGGUUAGGUUAUUAUUUAAGGGGUUAGGUUAGGUUAUUGUUUAAGGGGGUUAGGUUAGGUUAUUAUUUAAGGGGUUAGGUUAGGUUAUUAUUUAAGGGGUUAGGUUAGGUUAUUGUUUAAGGGGGUUAGGUUAGGUUAUUAUUUAAGGGGUUAGGUUAGGUUAUUGUUUAAGGGGGUUAAGUUAGGUUAUUAUUUAAAGGGGUUAGAUUAGGUUAUUGUUUAAGGGGGUUAGGUUAGGUUAUUGUUUAAGGGGGUUAGGUUAGGAUAAUUUAGGGGUUAGGUUAGGAUAAUUUAGGGGUUAGGUUAGGAUAAUUUAGGUCUUAGGUUACUGUCUGAGGAGGAUUAAGUUUAUCGUAUUGGUUAGAUAAUACUAUUGGGUUCAGUAUGCAUAGUGGCUAGAGCAAUACAACAUAACGCAGAGGUUUACCAUUUGUAUUACUGCCCAGGAAAGUUAGAUUAUACCUCUCUUCUCCGCCCUCCCAUUCCCCCCUCCCCCCCAAAAAAAAAAAAAAAUUCCUCACACGAAAUGGUCUGAAUUAAAAAAAAUAUCCUACAAACGCCACGUACGAUGAUCUUUUUUAAUCACUGGCAUACGAUAAUGUGGAUGAUUAUUAUUUUUCUGAUCUCUUUUUACGAGCGGCCAAAUAUGAGUAAAAAAAAAAAAAAAACAGACAAACAAAAAAC